rnacentral:rRNA from 1 species
UCGUGGGGGGAUAACUGCGCGAAAGCGUUGCUAAUACCGCAUACGACCUGGAGGGUAGAAAGCGGACGGGGACCGACGAACGGUCCUUGCGUCGAGUGGAGGCCGGCCGAUGGCCGGUAUUAGCUAGUUGGNGAAGGUAAGCUACCAAGGCGACGAUCCGUAGCUGGUCUGAGAGGACGACCCAGCCACACUGGGACUGAGACACGGCCCAGACUCCUACGGGAGGCAGCAGUGGGGAAUAUUGGACAAUGGGCGCAAGCCUGAUCCAGCAAUGCCGCGUGUGGGAAGAAGGCCUUCGGGUUGUAAACCACUUUUGGCGGGAAAGAAAUGGUCUGUGCUAAUACCACGGAUUGAUGACGGUACCCGCAGAAUAAGCACCGGCUAACUACGUG